UAUAUGUUUAUUAUUCUUUUAUGUUGUCGAAAUAUAUUUGUUUAUCAGGUAAAAUAUGGCGGCAAAAUUUACCAUCGUUGCGCUAUUUCUUGCCGCUCUCGUGAUCGCCACGUCCGGUACAGUUACCAGUGAAGAUAACACAGAGGGCGAUCUGGAUACUUCGAUUGACAUUCAAGAUUAUCCAACCAGAUACGAACACUGCAUGAAUGAAAUUAAUGACGAAGAACGUUGUCGAGAUCGCGUUAGCGGACCGGUUCCAUUCCCGAGAUGGAAAUAAAGAGGAACACAGACUGAGCAUCAGACUUGGAGUGAUAAAAUACACACAUGCUACCCAUCUACUGGAAAUGCAAUACCUUGGUCAACCUCUUCAACAUUAAUCACUCAAUGAUAAACAAAAACAAGUACAUGCAUAUAUUUGGUAUAUCCUUACAACAUUGGAUAGAUCCAGUGUACUAACUGGUAGCUGUAAAAAUGCAUGAAUGAAGGUGUUUUGCAUCUCUAGACUGAUUUUUUUAAGGAUUGGCCAAAAUAACCAAUGUAUUACCAACACACUGUUGGUAAAUAUAUAUUUCUCUCAUAUAAAAAUAUAUAUUUAUAUAUAUAUAUUGGGUGAGAAUGCACACAUAGUUGGUUAGGAUCUUGUAUUAUAUUGGUCUAUUCCGAGCAAUAUGAGGGUCGGUCACACAAACACAUUACUUAUAUUUUACUAAACCUUUUUCCGAGUGUACUUUAUAAGUAAGAAAUUAGUAAUUUAUUCAAAUUGGUGCUCUAUAUGUUACUCACAUAAAAUGAGAAGGUCAAAUAAAAUAUUUAGGAGAAUAAAAUUGAAUUGAAUUACUUGGCAAUAAAAUCCAGAAAAUAAUGUGAAGAUGAUCUAAAACGCUUUGAUAGUAUGCAAAUGCACUUUCUGUGAUCUUGGUAAGUUGACAUUA